UGUUGAUUUGAAGACUGUUUGUUCAGUGGUGAGAUCCAAGUACCAAAGUGCAAGGAGCUAUUCUAUCUUCACAGACUGAUUUUCACCAAGGGAGGCUACUUUUAAAGGCGUGUCAUUGCUUCAAGGCAUGCUCUGAGGGAGCUCAUGACUCCCCUACAUGUCUCCCAUGGGAAAGCUGCUCCUGCAGCUGGAAGCGGCCAUGCAUGUACCCCUUGGGACAGUGGCAUUGGGUCCCAAGGAAGUACCUCAAUGGAAGAGUAAUUUUUACAUGGCAGAAAGAUGGUUUCCUAUCAUAUGGCCAAAAAGUGCAUUAUCUGUGCUGCUAAUGUGAAUCUUCUCUGUUAUUCUCCACAUCAGAAGACCCACAGCCCUUGCUGUUUAAAUGACUGAAGAUUCUGGGAGGGUCCAUCAAAAGGAUGCAAACUUAAUCGCACAUAACAGGAACUCUGGAAGCAAGUUUGGCUCUGGAUGGCUGGAAGUCAAAGUAACCCCUUGGCAUCAGUGCCUGCACAUCACCGGCUGGAUAUAGGAAGUCCAUAAUUCUUCUGUGUUUAUGAUAAAGCCUUCCUGCUCAGAACUUCAGAACCCUCUGCAAUGAGGGAUUAAUUCAGCCUCACAUGCAGUAAACAGGAUCUUCUCUUUUACAGGGGGGAAACGGAGGCACAGCAAGGCACAAGGACAUCUGGGGCCUGCUGCAGGCCAGGAAAGAGUUGGGACUUUCCCCAGUUCAGCGCCAAGUGCCUCCAAAAAGCCCUACUAUCGGCACGAGGACUUUGUGAGAGGGAGCAGAGGGGGCCCCACUUUUUGAUGUGUGACUUGAAUCACCUGAAAGGGAUUUGCUUCCCUCUGAACUCCGUCACUGGGAAACCAAACUCCCCCAGGCAUCUGUUGAGUCUGAAAAUUUGGGCUUAAUUAUCCUUCGGUCUGUGGCAUUCGGAGCAGAGAUUUAUGCCUAUUUUGGAAAAGAAAUGGAGGUUACCCACACCUCUUGCUAAUUAAAAACCAGAGGUGAGGAGAGAUGGGUAAUUAGGUUACCUUGUUUGUGCUGGUUAAAUAAGUGGCACGGGCAGAAUUUGCUCGGAGGGACCCUUGCAGCAGUGCUGUGCUCUUGUUAAUCUUGGUGCUAUGGUUGGAACCAAACAGGAGAAAGCAAGGCUGGUGUUGACAGGGCCUUGUUCUGUGCCUGGAGUUCUACAGCAGUUUCCUCCCACCCUGCUGCUCCCUAAUCGCAGUGCUUCCUACGUGGCCUUUAUCAGUGCAGACCACUGCCUGUAAAUAGGAGAAAUCCUGUUGCAAAAGCCCUGAGCACAAUGUUAUCUUUCCUCUUUCCCACAGAAGAGACACGCUAGGAAAUGCCUUGCUUCAGUUUGUCCCUCCUUGUUCCUGGAUGAUGUUGGAGCCAUUGUAAGGAGCGAGGCUCACGUUUCCUCCCGAAGAUGGCAGAUGCUCUGAUGGGUGGGAUUGUUGGCAGGGUGCGCACUGACAUGUGGCAUCCUGCUGGGUUCUUGUGCCAACUCAGGGCUUGUGAGCCCACAAAGCCUCUUGUUGGUCUGGGAACUGAGCACUUGGGAUUUCCCUACAUGAAACUCAAGAACAUGCAGGCCUGGCUGCUGAAGUUGGAGAAAAAUGACUUGUGCAGCCAGUGGCUUUUCCCUGGGAAAUGAUACUGAGAGGCACCUCGCAGAGGGAUGUGUUAAUACAGUGCACAUGUGGCAGCUUACGGAAAGCCAAAGGCUUUCCCUCCUCCCAAGUGAUGCUCACUGCAGGAUGCCUUCUGCAGGGUCAUCACCCUCUGGCUUCUGUGGGAUGCUCCAUGCUGUGGGAGCACCAAAGCAGCAGCUUGGGCACGGCUGGCACUUCUCCCUGCUGCUCCUGGAGCCCUGCUCCUCCCUUGGCUGUCAGCUGCCACCUGCUGCUGCAGCACAGGGGGACAUUAACCAGAACUCUUGGCAGACAGACACAGACAGCACUCCUGCUGUCAUCCGGUCACGUUGUCCACGUGCCACCCAUGUGCUGCUGAUACACCUCUCUCUGCUGCUGCAGCUUGUGCUGUGGGAUCUAAGUCCAUGAGCGAACGUCUUUAUUUCAGGUAUGGAACAAGGAACUGACUGAUUUCCCUGUGCCUAGCAGCCAGCUGCUUGCCAUUGAAACAGCGGUCUUCUUGAUGAUCAGGAGCUGGACCUGCUCGGGGUUGCAACACCAUAGGAGCAGAUGAUGGCUUUUUGCCUUGAUGUGCAGAUGUCAUUAGGUACCUAGACGUUUGCAGGUUCUCAAAUGUGCACAGUGAAACUGAAGGCCACUAAAAAAAUCAUCACCACCCAGAUGGGGAAGCUGGGACAAAAAGAGUUGAAAUGAUUUGACCAAUGACCAAUACACAGCUGGGACCAGAAAGCAGACUUUUGUAAUACCCCAACAGCAAUUAUUUACCAGGUUUAGGAUAAAACCAUGUAGUCCUAGUUCAGCAGUCAUGAAGUCUGUGAAGAGAAGACUGCAAUGCCUCCAGAAACUGGUAAGAAAUUAAUAUUUAUGCUGUUUCUGCAGAAGUUUGGGGACAGUUUCUUUGCACAGGAGUCACAUUAGACAAUGGUAAGAAUGGCACUUUUAAUGAUUUCUCUGUUUUUCUCUCAUGACUUUCCACAAGAGUUCUCCUGGUGUCUGUAGCAGAAUGAAAUUAGAGGGGGUACAGUAUAAAAAUGUACCAUAUAAACAGUACAAAAUUAAAUGGGGUGAAAUUGGCAUAGGACAGUAUUCUAAUCAUCAAGAAAUGCAUCUAAGAUUAGAGUGAGCAGGCUGACCAGCUGUUUACAGAGAAUAAAUAAAGGAUGUUUUCAGGACAAAUGAACAAGUGGUAUCUGUUUGAAGGGUCUUACAACAUGCAUUCGCUAAAUGGCUAUCCAUCUGGAAACACAACCUUUAGAGGGAGCUUUUUAAUGUUUCUGUGGGCCUGGCCACUGAAGUGUGUGGCAGAAACACCUGAAGCUGCAUCUGAAGUCACUAGAAGAUGCCAUGCCUAAGAACUAUUGCCAAAGGAAAUUAGUGGUAUUUGAGCAACUCCAUUUUUCUUUUUUCAGGCUGUGGCCAUUUCCACUUCUAUCCUUGCUUUUCCUGUAAGAGGAGAACCUAUGGAAAGCUCACUAGAACAGCGAUUGCAACCUGCACAGCACUUAUUGUGCUGAUACACACAGAGUAUGGGACUGAUUAAUUUUUUCAUGUGUUUUUUGAGGUGGAAAAUAUGUUGGAGAGCUUGAUUUUUUUAAUAAAUAAAGAUGAUACUGAAAGGUUCCAGAAGAGGAGUUAGAAAGAAAACAAAAUUUCAAGUACAAUAUUUAAACUGGGAGCCCAUCAACACCCUCAGAACUGUUGCAGAAGACACUCAUAAUACUCUGAACAUGUUUAAUUGGAAAGAAAACCUUUGACUGUGAUUACGAUUUAAAUGAAUACAUUGUACAUUGAUAACUGAUAACACUGAUAACAUUGUACAUUGAUAACCUUUGGUGAAAGGCUGUUUAAAGUUGUGAUGUGUUUGCUUCUCGGGGCCACUGAAGAUCAUUAUAAAAAUUUCCAUUAUAAAGAACUACUUUCUAUAAUGUUUAACUUCCUUGACUUCUGACAGUCAAGAGAAAAAUUAUGUAUUAAUAAUACUAGGAAUAUGUAAAUCUUUGCAUAAUUUUAUCUUCAUAGAAAGCAAAAUCCCAACUCAUUUCAUUUUCAGAGGUAAAAUAGAUGCUACCGAGAUCCAAAGAAAACCCAGAAGGAUCCAGAGGUCAUCACUGAUUUUCAAGAACUUAAACACUAUUUUGCCUUUUCUGGUUACAUUCCUGGAAUGACAAAAUUUAUGAAGUUUGCCGUUUUAUUGGACAAUAUCACCUUAUUUAUAGCACACAUAACACUACUUUAAUCAUGUUCAAAAGGACCAGUAAUGCCUAAUCAAUUGCCAUCUUUCCUAAUGCAUGAGGUAAGAGUUUUCCUUUCCCAGGAUUUCACAAAUUGAUUUCCAAGAGUGAUCUGCUCUGGCUUCCCCAUUCCUAGAUGCUCCCCCUUCAUGAAGUUCUGACCAUCCCUAAUGGGAAACAGAAACGAUGGCAAAAAAUUCAAUAUGUUAAUGAUUCAUUUCAAUGAGUGCAAAACAUAAAAAUUGUAAGCAAUUGUUCCACAAAUGUCUCUUUCUGCUGCAGAAAGUGAGCCUAUAGAUGGUAUUUGGUGAUAAGGCAGUCACAACUCCCUCAGCUGCUGCUUGGAGAACAAAGAAUGGCACAGCAGGAAAUGAGGACAUGGGCAACUUGUUUUGGGCCGCAGUUUGGAACUUAACACAGUCUGCAGAGGGCAGAAGUAAAGGGGGCACUUUCUAAGGAAGUACUGGAAUACAGAAGAUUACAGAAGAACUGGGAAGUGUUACAAAAUGGGAAAAAUUCAUUGGAAAAGCUCUUUCACAAAAUCUCUAUGGAUGCCUCCAAAGAAACACUUAAGUCAGACCAUCUCAGCAUACUUAUCAUGGUUAGGCUGAUGUCUUUGUUGCAGUUCGGUAGGAAUUAUUCUACCCAACUCUGUGAGACAAACUGUACUUAUUUAUUACUACAGAAAACAUCCCAGCAUGUUCCAUGUGUACAUACUGUGAAUUCACUGAUCUUGAUAAUUUUAAAGACUUUUACUGCUCUUACUUUCCUCCCACGAAUCUUAGCCCCAUUUUUAACCAAGCACCAUCUUCGCUCUCCUCAUAAGCACAUGUAUCAUGAAACAGAGAUAUAAAAAUAUAACCAAAACACACACAAGCACCACAAGCAACACACUGCAGUUUCUCACCACUGCUAAGAUGAAGGGAAGCAUCCCCAAGUAUUAUUAUUAGUUAAAACAGAUCCUCAAGAGGCCUAUUUUGAAGAGAUAAAGAAACAAGAACUCUUCUUUUUCUUCUUUUUCUCUCUCUUGCUUUCUCUUUUUCCUUCUCUUUCUUCUUUUCAUUUUCUUUUUCUUGAAAAAUAAAUCCGUCACUACCUCAGAAAUGCUCUUUUUAGAUUAAGCCCACUCUUCAGCAAGAAUCUGAUGAAGAGAGGAGUCCUGUUUUGCUCCAAGGGACCGAAUAAAGCUCAUGAUACCUUCUGGGAUAAUACAGUACGAGAUAUGUAGGAAGUUUGGUUAUCCACACAAGGGUGCCUAGUGCCAUUGGAGGUGUAUUUGGCCACUUGAGGGGUCUGUUCUGUUUGCCUGGGGAGAGCCAUGCCCUUCUGGAGUGGCAGCUGAAGACAUCAAACCCUUUGUUUGGGUAGCAGAAUCGCUCAUAUAAGAACUGUACAUCCUGCUGCAGUCCUGCUUUGCAUAUACGAUUUAUAACUGUUCUAAGAACCUUAAAUGACUGUGCACAUGCUUGAGAUAAAUAUACCCUAAAAAAUUCUUCUUUUCUUCUUUUUCACACUUCCAGAUUUCUGACAUUUGCACUCCUAGCAUUUAAUUUUGAGGUGAAGGGAACCUGGCUUCUUUAUACAGAUGGAAAAUACACUCAACUUCUCCCUUAUGAAAUAUCUUUCAAACAUUAGCUGAAUAGUUUUUGUCCAUUUGACCAUCUGAGUAAUUACUUUAGAACGUCUUCUCCUGCAUUUCUUUGCUAGCAGUCAGACCUCUGUAGUAAAAUAUUAUGUUGAAAAUAUAUUUUAGAAGAAAGGUAUAUAAUCCUAUUAAUGGAUUUCUUUAAAUUCUCUAUAUGUGUUUUGCAAUGAAAUAAGCAUAUCCAUAGCAAUUUUUAAAGUUCUACUUCAGGAUUUAUGCACUCUUAAUGGAUGGAGAUUAUUUCUUUGUAUAAUAUAAAUAUCCCAAAGAUUUAAUGAAGCCAUAAAAACAUUCAUUAGACUUCUGUAAUUAGAAUUAUAGUUCCAAAAGCUUCAGUGUGCUAAAUAUACCUGCAGUAUUUCAUUGUCCUAAGUUUUCAGUAAACAGCUUUCCUGUGGGGAAGAACUCAGAGCUGUGGGGGUGGAAUUCACAUCUGACUUGCUGAGAGGGCCCCCAGCAUCACCUCCCCCUGAACUGAGCAGCCACCUGUGGGUCUACAUUUAUGGCGACCUGAUCCCCCAGGCCACCUGCAGCCUGCUGAGGGCCUCUCCUCAGGAAGCUGUGGAGCUUGCCUCAAUUAGAUGUCACCUCCAACUUGCAACAAGGCCUGAAGAUAGAUUCCUUCUUUCUUGGUGUGACAUUUAUUUGAUAUCAGAUCAGGCCCACAGAUGUGUUUUGGAAAACCCUUGGAGGCCUUGAACAACCAUGUAUGUAAAUGCUGGGAUGGAAUCUGAUCCUACCCUCUCAUUGGGAGUAGGGAAUGAUAAUAAUUUUUAAUAGAUGCUGCAAGUCAAGACAUUUCUGUGUUCGUUCAGGCCAUUUUACUCUCAUGCAAAUGUUUUGUCUGUUUUCUAUGUAAAGAACAGCAAUGACAUGGAGGCCAAUGGUGACAUCUCAGAAUCCAAUCAGAAAACCUGCAUAAAGAUGAAAGGUCUUACCAACAAGAAGUGAGCUUGCUAAACUACACCUUUGAAUGAAUUCGGACAAAACUGAAAAAUGUUGUUGAUAUCAGAUCCUUAGGCUGAUUACUGAAGCGUUCGAUUUUUCAGCAUGUCAAUUCAUCACUGUCUACCUGGUUAUAUUUAACACUUUCUCCUGUUUCCAUCCUGUCUGCUGAGAUAGGCAAUCUCUGUCACAUGGUAUCUGCUUCACCAGAAAGUCAAUAGACCAUUGUGGAGGCCCAUGAGGCCUGUUCCCCAGUCACCCUGAUUCUCAACAUGAUAUUGCUGGCGGCAGAUGGAGCUUCCACGUCUUGUGGCAUCUAAAAUGUUAAUGAGAUUAGCAACUUCCAUCCUUCAAGCAGUUCAGUGUGUCCUUUUUGGUGCUUUGUAAUUAUGUAGCCAGUCACCGGAACACAGAAACUUUAUACUGAUGCUUUUUACCUUGUGCUGGUAUUACCAAAAUGUUGCAUUAAUUACGCUUGUGUUCAUUUUCUUUUAGAAAACACUGCUUUGCCCUUUAAGCCAGCCGCAGGUUCAAGACAAUUGGUGUAUCAUUCUGAAUUUGGAACUCUGGAGCUGAGACGUUUAGGAUGCAUAUUAAUUUAGUUUUAGUUACAUCUCACCAGUUUGGGCCAAAUAAUACAAAAUAAAUAUAUAGAAAUGGUGGCUCAUAACUUCCAUGCAUUCUGGCCUGUUUUUGGAUACUUGGAAGUAGCUCUUAGAUUUCGCUAACCUGAUCCUUUCUGAGGCUACCUGUUGUACCACAACUGUGGUGUGGGACUGAGGAAGAUUGAACAACCUUUCCUUAUUGUCAGAGAAGAAUCGGACCAGGCUUGUUACCUUCUUGUUUCUGACAGAUUAUCCAUCAUUAGGUACUUGGACUCUUAUCUCCUUGUUCAGAUUAUCCUUUGUUAUGUACUUGGAUCCUGGGUGUGUAUGUGUGAACGUAUACACAUACGCAUCUAUAAAGAUGGUCCUAUAUAUAUAUACAUUCACAGAGAAUAGUUGUUCACCGAUUAAAAGGUAUUUAUUGUUAGAACUUACUGUUAGUUUAGCCUGAAAGGUCUUCAUUGGCUUCUUGGAUUGAGUUUAAGUUCCAUUUCAUGUCCUGAAGCAAGCUCAGGAUGGUAGUCUUUCCAAAUGUCAGGGGAAUCACCUUUCUGAUAUUUGGCUUCUCCCCUGUGCAAAACAAUAAUUGUACAACUUGCUUAGCUUUGUAAAGUGCUUUGAGAUCUAUGGGUGAGGCACACUAUAGGCAUUCUAAACAUGAUUUAUUUCCUUGCAGGGCCUAUCCCUAAGUGGCUCAUUGAAGAAACAACAUUUAUAAAUAUGCAUAGCUUCCUGGUAUAGAAUUUUUCCUAUUCUUUUCAGAAUAUACAGGCUAAGCUGUUAUUAUUCACUUUUCCAUUUUUAGAAUCAACGAUUAAAUUGCACAGCACUACUGUGUUGUACCAAUUAAAAUAACUACUGUCUAUUUGGCAGUCCUUUAAUGGGAAAUGAAAUUCACUUUUAGGCAUAUAUCACGGUAAUACAUAUAUCAUAUGGUAUACAGUUUAGAUCAUUUCGGAAGACAGUAGCUGUAUUAGAUCGUAUUCCCCCACCUAGUCCUGGUUACAAGCAUCAAUUUUGUUAAUUAAGAAUUUUAAACCCUGUGAAUUUAUAGUACAAUUAUGCUUUACUUCAUAAGUAGGUCUUUACCCCUCUACAACUAUUAACAAAAUGUCCACUUAUAUUAUUUGCUGACGGUUUCAAAGGCUGAUGAAUUUUGUAUGAAGAUUUGCCCUUUUUUCUAAGCUUUGCUCACUGCACAUCAGCUGUUUGUCAGCAAAACAUAACAGUGAAGACUUCUGACUUAAAUCUUUUUUCUUUCUUUUUUUUUUUUUUUUUUUUUUU